rnacentral:rRNA from 1 species
GACGAACCGUGCGAACGUUGUUCGGAAUCACUGGGCUUAAAGGGCGCGUAGGCGGGUUCGCAAGUCUGUGGUGAAAUCCUCCAGCUUAACUGGAGAAGUGCCAUGGAUACUGCGAGCCUCGAGGAGGGUAGGGGCAUCUGGAACAGUAGGUGGAGCGGUGAAAUGCGUUGAUAUCUACUGGAACUCCGGUGGCGAAGGCGAGGUGCUGGACCCUUUCUGACGCUGAGGCGCGAAAGCCAGGGGAGCGAACGGG